rnacentral:rRNA from 1 species
CCAGCAGCUGCGGUAAUUCCAGCUCCAAUAGCGUAUAUUUAAGUUGUUGCAGUUAAAAAGCUCGUAGUUGGAUUUCGGGUGGGUUCUAGCGGUCCGCCUAUGGUGAGUACUGCUAUGGCCUUCCUUUCUGUCGGGGACGGGCUUCUGGGCUUCACUGUCCGGGACUCGGAGUCGACGUGGUUACUUUGAGUAAAUUAGAGUGUUCAAAGCAGGCUUACGCCAGAAUACUUUAGCAUGGAAUAACACGAUAGGACUCUGGCCUAUCUUGUUGGUCUGUAGGACCGGAGUAAUGAUUAAGAGGGACAGUCGGGGGCAUUCGUAUUUCAUUGUCAGAGGUGAAAUUCUUGGAU